GAGUUCCUGGCGCUGAAGUGGGCGUUGGUGGACAAGCUGGGCGAUUACCUGUACGGAGCCAAGUUUGAGGUAAGAACGGAUAACAAUCCUCUCACUUAUAUUCUGACUUCGGGGGACGUCACGUGAUGACGUAGGAUCGAGACGCUGGAACCCAGUCCUCCCGUAAAAAAGUUAAUAAAUUAAUGUUUAAGUGAAGAAAAGUUAAUCAAUACUUUUUUAUGGUUACUUAUAUUCUGACUUCGACUAAGCUGGAUGCCACAGGACAUCGGUGGCUGGCGGCCUUGUCAGUAUAUGAGUUCAGCCUGAGGUACCGCCCCGGAAGCAAGAAUGUCGAUGCGGAUGCUUUGUCAUGUCGGGAGCCGGGGGAACAGGAGAAGGACGAGGAGUGGGAGAGUGUCCCUGCCCCUGGAGUGAUGGCUAUGUGUCAGUUUGCUAUCACCGUGAAGGCCACGGGAAGAGGAAGGCUGGAGCGAGCCGUGGACCAUUUGGGGGUUUUUGACGAUGCCGUACCCCUAGCUUACUGUGACCUGACCACACUGCGGACUAAACAGUUGCCGGAACUGAGUCUGGGGGAAGUGGCAGCUGCUCUGCAAAAUGACCCGGGUCUUGGCACUGUGUGGAGAGUGGUAGAGAAGGGGGAUGUGGCGUUGGCUGAGAAGCAGAAACACCCGACCGUGCUUCUGUUAUUGAAGGAGUGGCCUCGGUUAAAGUUAAAGAACCAAAUCUUGUACCGGGUCACGGCACCUCAGGACCAACCCCGCCAUUGGCAACAGGUCCUGCCGGAGGAGUAUCGGCAGACUGUACUCCAGGCCUUACAUGAUGAUUCCGGACACUUGGGGGUGGAAAAGACCUAUGGAUUACUCAAAGACCGGUUCUACUGGCCCCGGAUGAGGGGGGAGGUCGAAGAAUACUGUAGGGGAUGCAGUUGUUGCAUUAGGAGGAAGAUCCUGCCAGCGUCAGCGGCUCCACUGUCGCACUUGCAGAGUGCGGGACCUCUGGACCUGGUACGUAUGGAUUUCCUGUCGAUCGAGCCUGACACCAGCAACACCACGAAUGUCUUAGUCAUCACCGAUCGUUACACUUGCUAUGCUCAGGCAUUUCCCACUAAGGAUCAGAAGGCGACGACAGUGGCGAAGGUGUUAUGGGAGAAGUAUUUUGUUCAUUAUGACCUUCCCAGGUGAAUCCAUAGUGAUCAGGGGCGGGACUUUGAGAGCCGCCUUAUCCAUGAAUUACUGACUAUGCUUGGGGUUGAGAAAUCCAGGACUACCCCUUAUCACCCACAGGGUGAUCCUCAGCCAGAGAGGUUCAACAGGACCCUAUUGGACAUGCUCGGGACGCUGGAGAUUGGGCAGAAAGAUAAGUGGAGUCAUCAUAUUGGACAAUUGGUUCACUGUUACAAUUGCAUUCGCAAUGAUUCUACAGGGUACUCGCCUUAUUAUCUGAUGUUCGGGCGGGAAGCAAGAUUGCCCAUUGAUGUGUUUUGGGGCUGAAGUGGGUGAAUUACCCGGGAAGCCCUAUCUAAAGUAUGUGUCCGAUAUGUAGAGGGAGUUACAGAGGGCGUACGAAUUGACCGAGGUGGUGACUACCAAACAAAAUCAGAGGAAUAAGAUGAGAUACGAUCAAAAGGUGAAGUUUGCCCAAUUAUUGCCAGGCGACCGGGUCCUCUUAUGGAAUUUGGGACUCCCUGGAAACAAGGAGCACGAGGAACCGUCAGAUGAUGUUUGGCUACUGGAUUUAGGGUUUCUGACAGACCUAACGGCUAAAUUAAAUGCACUUAACAACAAGCUCAUGGGAAAAGACCGACACCUACCCCACACAAUAAGCGCAGUAAAUGCACUUAAGGCCAAGCUCGGUAUUUGGAUUUCAAAUUUAAAGAACGGUGAGGCUGACACACUUCUCGAACUUGGAGAAAAUGUUACAGGCCGUCAAGGAAAAAAAAUGCUUUUCACCUAGACAAACUGACAAUAGAGUUGAUCGGUGUUUUGGGGAGUUAAACAUCAUGAAAGAUAUUGCUGCAUUUAUGUCAAACCCAUUUCUGCCGAUCGAUAUAGAACAGAUAGCAGCCAAAUUCCAGUAAGUAUUUGGUGUGCCAAGUGAUAUUGAAAUGGAAAUAAUUGAUUUGCAAAAUGACAUCGAACUUAAAGCAAGAUCACAGGACGGUGACUUUUGGGGGCUUGUCAGCAGGGAGAAGCUUCCUCAUCUCACCACAUCCGCACUAAAAGUCAGUGCCUACUCCGGGUCAACUUAACUGUGUGAAAUUGCUUUUUCACAAUUGAAAAUUAUUAAAUCUAAGUACAGGAGAUGUCUUACUGACAGACACCUCACAGUCUGCCUCAGACUGGCUGGCUGUAGUUAUGAGCCAAAUUUCAGGGAACUAGCAAAAAGUAUUCAGCCCCAGUCAUCACACUGAAUGUAACAGUCAAUUUUCAUUCAUUUAUUUUUCGUGUUGAAAUAAAAUUAAAUAAUGGAUCUUAGAAUUAAAGGUAUGACGUAUUGUAAUAUUCUUCAAUAAAGACAGCUAUGGCCUGUUUGAUAUGCUAGUUACAGUGUUUUCUUGGUUGAAUUAAUUUGAAAGUUUGACAAAAGCAUUUUAUGUAAUUCAAAUACAAUUAGCCCGAAUAAAAGGC